rnacentral:rRNA from 1 species
AAAACAUCGCCUCCUGCAACAAAACCUAGUAUAGGAGGUCCAGCCUGCCCAGUGACUAUAAGUUCAACGGCCGCGGUAUUUUGACCGUGCAAAGGUAGCGUAAUCACUUGUCUCUUAAAUGGAGACCUGUAUGAAUGGCUAAACGAGGGCUUAACUGUCUCCCCCCUCCAGUCAGUGAAAUUGAUCUAUCCGUGCAGAAGCGGGUAUAAAUAUACAAGACGAGAAGACCCUUUGGAGCUUAAGGUACAAAGCUCAACCACGUCAAGCAACUUGAUAAAGAGCAAAAACUUUGUGGAUUAUGACAUUUUACCUUCGGUUGGGGCGACCACGGAGGAAAGAAAAGCCUCCAGGUGGACUGGGAUAGUAUCCUAAAGCCAAGAGGGACAUCUCUAGGCCGCAGAACAUCUGACCAAGCAUGAUCCGGCUAAUAAAGCCGAUCAACGAACCAAGUUACCCUAGGGAUAACAGCGCAAUCCUCUCCCAGAGUCCAUAUCGACGAGGGGGUUUACGACCUCGAUGUUGGAUCAGGACAUCCUAAUGGUGCAGCCGCUAUUAAGGGUUCGUUUGUUCAACGAUUAAAGUCCUACGUGAUCU